GAACAGCCUCACCUGUGGCUCCUACCCAUGCACCCACUGCCGUAGGCCUUGGGCACUAUUUAAGCUCAGGCCUGGGCCCUCAUCCCUCCCUAAUCUAUGGGGCUGGUGGCAUUGUCCUCUAGUUCUGCCUCUUUUCUAUUUUUUUGUUGUUCCUGGCAGGACCCUGGGCAUGGCCCAAUCACUCUGCUUGUCUGAGGAGGCUGAUGAGUGAUGUUAUGACUCCUAGUGCUGUAUGCCACCUGUAGGUGUGGGGGACAAUGACAUGGGUGAAGGUUCCCAGCUUCCUGGUGUCUUAGGAAGCAGCUGGCCCUUACUGCACCCUGGAAAAGACAAAGCUGGCAAAGGACCCUGGGGACAGGCUGUGAAGGGUUGCAGAUGUGAAGUGUCUGACCAGCACAAAACCAAUGAACUUCGGGUCAAUACAGCCACAUGCAGAUCAAAUAUGCAGCUUUCUGCUGUGUGAGGUGUCCAUUUCUAGGGUCUGAACUGCUUUCAGAGUAUUUUCCCAGUGUCUGAUUAACUGAACAGUGAUCAUAAAAUAGAAAAGCCAGGGCUUUUCCAUCCUGUGUAUAUGCUUGGACACAAUCUGAGUACGCUUCGUGCCUCCUCUGAGUCUUUCCAGCCACACCAGAAUAGGAAACAGUGCAGUGGUGUCCAGAUUUAGGACAGUAAUUUGUGUACUGUAAGCAGUCUCAAUUCAUUUGCUGCCUGAUUGGGUAUGUCUCAAAAAAAACUUUGUGCAAAAUGUAUUUAGUUACAGGUUUCAUAACAUUAUCUUCCCAAUAAUUUUCCAAGCAACCUGGCCUAAAACUGUUGAUUGGCCAAUAUAAUACUCUCCUGCAGUUACACCACUUUGAUCAAACAUAGACCUGACGUUGGCCACUUGCCUAAUUUCUGCCAGCUUCCCUAACAUAUUAAGGAAUCUGACCUCAUCAGCUUCCUAUGAAGAUAUCAUAAAACUUCCUAUCUACUUUGAAAACAUUUCAGAACAUAAAUGUGAGAUUAAUGGCUCUUUCACUCUAAUAAUGUAAACCACAUGACUUUUAAAAUUAAAGCUACUAGUAAUCUGUGUAUUCUUAUGUUCAAGAUCUGGAAACUGUUGUAUCUACCAUCAAAACGUUAAAAACAAGUUGGACCUCUCAAAGCAUUAACUGUUUUCAAUGGAAUUAUUCCUAUUGUAUAAAGCCAUAAUGAAGUAUACAAAUAUAUUCAGUGUCUUUAUUAAUUGUCAAUAGUGUCUUUAUUAAUAGUCAAGCAGUCCUUGCAUUCUGAAACUCUUUGAAAAAAAAAUGAGCAAUCUUAUUUCAUAGCCUGUAAUAACUACUCUGACAUCUUUUUGCAGUAUCAUUCGAUAUGGGCAAUUCAAAAAUGGGAGGCGUUAUCAGUAUGGACAGGUUGUCAUUUUCAUUUUCAAUUAAUUUGUAAAAAAAUGGGUGUCCAAGAGCUAACAUCUGAGAAUUCAAACAAUGUAAUGUUAAUCUUCCUAUAUCCUAUGUUUUUGUAUGUUUCUGUCGUAGCUUUACAAAAGUCUUCAGAGUAAUGGAUUAU